UACGUAGGGGGCAAGCGUUGUCCGGAUUUAUUGGGCGUAAAGAGCGUGUAGGCGGCCAGACAGGCCUGCUGUGAAAACUCGAGGCUCAACCUCGAGACGCCGGUGGAAACCGUUUGGCUAGAGUCCGGAAGAGGAGAGUGGAAUUCCUGGUGUAGCGGUGAAAUGCGCAGAUAUCAGGAAGAACACCCGUGGCUAAGGCGGCUCUCUAGUACGGUACUGACGCUGAGGCGCGAAAGCGUGGGGAGCAAACGGG
rnacentral:rRNA from 1 species